CUCUACGGCCAUGCUACCCUGAACACGCCCAUCCCGUCUGAUCUCGGAAGCUAAGCAGAGUCAGGCCUGGUUAGUACUUGGAUGGGAGACCACCUAGGAAGACCAGGUGCUGUAGGUG
rnacentral:rRNA from 1 species